rnacentral:lncRNA from 1 species
AGAGACUCCAGAGAGCUUUCUUGCCUCUUCUGCCAUGUGAGGGCACAGCAAGAAGACCAUGCUCUAUAAAUCAGAAAAUGGGUCCUUACAGACCAAACUGGCUGGCACCUUUAUUGUGGACUUUCCAAUCUGUGGAAAUGUGAGAAAUAAGUGUUGUUUUUUAUAGACCAAAGUUAAGGCUGAAUUGAGAAGGCUCAGAAGACCCUGGCUAGAGUUUCGUCAAGUUUAAAAUGAUCGUCAACUCUGUAUACAUCAAAAUUGAGUUCAGUGCGUGCUGGACUGUUUUCUCUGUUUCAAUAGUAUAUGACUCAUUAAAAUAUGUUGUUACUACUUUUUCUUCAAUCAUAUUGGAUUAGGGACACUUUCUACUAGAGUAUGUUCUCAUCUUCAAUUAACUAAUUACAUCUGCAAUGGUCCUAUUUCC